GCCCAGAUGGCGGAAUUGGUAGACGCGUUGGUCUCAAACACCAAUAACUUCACGGUUGUGCCGGUUCGACCCCGGCUCUGGGUACUA
rnacentral:tRNA from 1 species